rnacentral:rRNA from 1 species
ACAGAGGGGGCAAGCGUUGUUCGGAAUUACUGGGCGUAAAGGGCGCGUAGGCGGCCUGCUAAGUCGAACGUGAAAUCCCCGGGCUUAACCUGGGAACUGCAUUUGUGACUGCAUCGCUGGAGUGCGGCAGAGGGGGAUGGAAUUCCGCGUGUAGCAGUGAAAUGCGUAGAUAUGCGGAGGAACACCGAUGGCGAAGGCAAUCCCCUGGGCCUGCACUGACGCUCAUGCACGAAAGCGUGGGGAGCAAACGGGA